UACGGAGGGGGCUAGCGUUGUUCGGAAUUACUGGGCGUAAAGCGCACGUAGGCGGCUUUGUAAGUUAGAGGUGAAAGCCCAGGGCUUAACCCUGGAAUUGCCUUUAAGACUGCAUCGCUAGAAUUGUGAGAGGUAAGUGGAAUUCCGAGUGUAGAGGUGAAAUUCGUAGAUAUUCGGAAGAACACCAGUGGCGAAGGCGACUUACUGGACACAUAUUGACGCUGAGGUGCGAAAGCGUGGGGAGCAAACAGG
rnacentral:rRNA from 1 species